GACAGAGGAGCCAAGCGUUGUCCGGAUUGACUGGGCGUAAAGCGCACGCAGGCGGCCUGGCGCGUGGGGUGUGAAACGGUAGCGGCUUAACUGCUACACGCCAUCCCAUACGGCCGGGCUCGAGCCAUGCAGAGGUCCACGGAAUUGCCGGUGUAGUGGUGAAAUGCGUAGAGAUCGGCAGGAACACCCAGGGGGAAACCGAGUGGACUGGGCAUGGAGCUGACGCUGC
rnacentral:rRNA from 1 species